rnacentral:rRNA from 1 species
AAGUAGCACUACUUAUUGAUGUGCGACCGGCGCACGGGUGAGUAACGCGUAUGCAACUUACCUAUCAGAGGGGGAUAGCCCGGCGAAAGUCGGAUUAAUACUCCAUAAAACAGGGGUUCCGCAUGGGACUAUUUGUUAAAGAUUCAUCGCUGAUAGAUAGGCAUGCGUUCCAUUAGGCAGUUGGCGGGGUAACGGCCCACCAAACCGACGAUGGAUAGGGGUUCUGAGAGGAAGGUCCCCCACAUUGGUACUGAGACACGGACCAAACUCCUACGGGAGGCAGCAGUGAGGAAUAUUGGUCAAUGGCCGAGAGGCUGAACCAGCCAAGUCGCGUGAAGGAUGAAGGAUCUAUGGUUUGUAAACUUCUUUUAUAGGGGAAUAAAGUGUGGGACGUGUCCCAUUUUGUAUGUACCCUAUGAAUAAGCAUCGGCUAACUCCGUGCCAGCAGCCGCGGUAAUACGGAGGAUGCGAGCGUUAUCCGGAUUUAUUGGGUUUAAAGGGUGCGUAGGUGGUAAUUUAAGUCAGCGGUGAAAGUUUGUGGCUCAACCAUAAAAUUGCCGUUGAAACUGGGUUACUUGAGUGUGUUUGAGGUAGGCGGAAUGCGUGGUGUAGCGGUGAAAUGCAUAGAUAUCACGCAGAACUCCAAUUGCGAAGGCAGCUUACUAAACCAUAACUGACACUGAAGCACGAAAGCGUGGGUAUCAAACAGGAUUAGAUACCCUGGUAGUCCA